rnacentral:rRNA from 1 species
GGGGGGGGUAAUGCCUGGGGAUCUGCCCAGUCGAGGGGGAUAACAGUUGGAAACGACUGCUAAUACCGCAUACGCCCUACGGGGGAAAGGAGGGGACCUUCGGGCCUUUCGCGAUUGGAUGAACCCAGGUGGGAUUAGCUAGUUGGUGGGGUAAUGGCUCACCAAGGCGACGAUCCCUAGCUGGUCUGAGAGGAUGAUCAGCCACACUGGAACUGAGACACGGUCCAGACUCCUACGGGAGGCAGCAGUGGGGAAUAUUGCACAAUGGGGGAAACCCUGAUGCAGCCAUGCCGCGUGUGUGAAGAAGGCCUUCGGGUUGUAAAGCACUUUCAGCGAGGAGGAAAGGUUGUUGGCUAAUACCCAGCAACUGUGACGUUACUCGCAGAAGAAGCACCGGCUAACUCCGUGCC